rnacentral:rRNA from 1 species
GACGAACGCUGGCGGCGUGCCUAAUACAUGCAAGUCGAGCGAUGAAGGAGAUACUUGUAUCUUUUGAAGAGCGGCGAACGGGUGAGUAACGCGUGGGGAAUCUGCCAAUGAGUGGGGGACAACAUUUGGAAACGAAUGCUAAUACCGCAUAAAAUCUAUUGAGACAUCUCAAGAGAUUGAAAGGAACAAUUGUUUCGCUCGUUGAUGAUCCCGCGUUGUAUUAGCUAGUUGGUGAGGUAAGGGCUCACCAAGGCGAGUAUACAUAGCCGACCUGAGAGGGUGAUCGGCCACAUUGGGACUGAGACACGGCCCAAACUCCUACGGGAGGCAGCAGUAGGGAAUCUUCGGCAAUGGACGAAAGUCUGACCGAGCAACGCCGCGUGAGUGAAGAAGGUUUUCGGAUCGUAAAGCUCUGUUGAUGUUAAAGAACGUUGAUGAGAGUGGAAAGUUCAUCAAGUGACGGUAAACAACCAGAAAGGGACGGCUAACUACGUGCCAGCAGCCGCGGUAA